rnacentral:rRNA from 1 species
CUCGUAGGCGGUUCGUCGCGUCCGGUGUGAAAGUCCAUCGCUUAACGGUGGAUCUGCGCCGGGUACGGGCGGGCUGGAGUGUGGUAGGGGAGACUGGAAUUCCCGGUGUAACGGUGGAAUGUAUAGAUAUCGGGAAGAACACCAAUGGCGAAGGCAGGUCUCUGGGCCGUUACUGACGCUGAGGAGCGAAAGCGUGGGGAGCGAACA